rnacentral:rRNA from 1 species
GUCAGCAGCCGCGGUAAUACCGGCGGCUCGAGUGGUGGCCACUUUAUUGGGCUUAAGCGUUCGUAGCUGGGUUAUUAAGUCCCUUGGGAAAUCCGACAGCUUAACUGUCGGGCGUCUAAGAGAUACUGGUAAGUCUUGGAACCGGGAGAGGGUGAGGGGGUACUUCGGGGGUAGGAGUGAAAUCCUGUAAUCCUCGAGGGACCACCUGUGGCGAAGGCGCCUCACCAGAACGGCUUCGACAGUGAGGGACGAAAGCUGGGGGAGCAAACCGGAUUAGAUACCCGGGUAGUCCCAGCCGUAAACGAUGUGCGUUAGGUGUAUCGGUGACCACGAGUCACCGAGGUGCCGAAGGGAAACCGUGAAACGUACCGCCUGGGAAGUACGGUCGCAAGGCUGAAACUUAAAGGAAUUGGCGGGGAGCACCACAACAGGUGGAGCCUGCGGUUUAAUUUGGACUCAACGCCGGAAAUCUCACCGGAUAAGACAGCAGAAUGAUUGCCGGGCUGAAGACUCUGCAUGACUAGCUGAGAGGAGUGGUGCAUGG